rnacentral:sRNA from 17 species
AUUAAAUAAAGACCUCCUAACUUUAUUUAAUAGAAUCCUAAACUUUUUUCAUAAUAAUCUCCGACAAAAGCCAUUCUUAUGAGUGGCUUUUGU